GGGGAAUAUUGCACAAUGGGGGAAACCCUGAUGCAGCGACGCCGCGUGGAGGAAGAAGGUCUUCGGAUUGUAAACUCCUGUUGUUGAGGAAGAUAAUGACGGUACUCAACAAGGAAGUGACGGCUAACUACGUGCCAGUAGCCGCGGUAAAACGUAGGUCACAAGCGUUGUCCGGAAUUACUGGGUGUAAAGGGAGCGCAGGCGGGAGAACAAGUUGGAAGUGAAAUCCAUGGGCUCAACCCAUGAACUGCUUUCAAAACUGUUUUUCUUGAGUAGUGCAGAGGUAGGCGGAAUUCCCGGUGUAGCGGUGGAAUGCGUAGAUAUCGGGAGGAACACCAGUGGCGAAGGCGGCCUACUGGGCACCAACUGACGCUGAGGCUCGAAAGUGUGGGUAGCAAACAGGAUUAGAUACCCUGGUAGUCCACACCGUAAACGAUGAUUACUAGGUGUUGGAGGAUUGACCCCUUCAGUGCCGCAGUUAACACAAUAAGUAAUCCACCUGGGGAGUACGACCGCAAGGUUGAAACUCAAAGGAAUUGACGGGGGCCCGCACAAGCAGUGGAGUAUGUGGUUUAAUUCGACGCAACGCGAAGAACCUUACCAAGUCUUGACAUCCCUUGACGAACAUAGAAAUAUGUUUUCUCUUCGGAGCAAGGAGACAGGUGGUGCAUGGUUGUCGUCAGCUCGUGUCGUGAGAUGUUGGGUUAAGUCCCGCAACGAGCGCAACCCUUAUGGUCAGUUACUACGCAAGAGGACUCUGGCCAGACUGCCGUUGACAAAACGGAGGAAGGUGGGGAUGACGUCAAAUCAUCAUGCCCUUUAUGACUUGGGCUACACACGUACUACAAUGGCGUUAAACAAAGAGAAGCAAGACCGCGAGGUGGAGCAAAACUCAGAAACAACGUCCCAGUUCGGACUGCAGGCUGCAACUCGCCUGCACGAAGUCGGAAUUGCUAGUAAUCGUGGAUCAGCAUGCCACGGUGAAUACGUUCCCG
rnacentral:rRNA from 1 species